UACGUAGGGUGCAAGCGUUGUCCGGAAUUAUUGGGCGUAAAGAGCUCGUAGGCGGUCUGUCGCGUCUGCUGUGAAAACCUGGGGCUUAACCCCCGGGCCUGCAGUGGGUACGGGCAGACUAGAGUGCGGUAGGGGAGACUGGAAUUCCUGGUGUAGCGGUGAAAUGCGCAGAUAUCAGGAGGAACACCGGUGGCGAAGGCGGGUCUCUGGGCCGUAACUGACGCUGAGGAGCGAAAGCGUGGGGAGUGAACAGG
rnacentral:rRNA from 1 species